GUGAAGGUAGAAUAUAUGAUCACUCAGGAAAACAGUUUGUCUAUUUCUUAUAAAAAUAAACACACACAUUCAGUAUGAUAUUGGCUAUGGGUUUGUCAUAAAUAUUGUGUUAAUCUUCAAAAAACCAGCUCCUGGAUGCAUUGAUUUUUGAAGGGUUUUUUGUGUCUCUAUCUCCUUCAGGUCUGCACUGUUCUUAGUUACUUCUUAUCUUCUGCUAGCUUUUGAAUUUGUUUGCUCUUGCUUCUCUAGUUCUUUUAAUUGUGAUGUUAGGGGUCGAUUUUCGAACGUUCCAACUUUCUGAUGUGGCAUUUAGUGCUGUAAAUUGCUCUCUAAACACUGCUUUUGCUGUGUCCCAGAGAUUCA
rnacentral:lncRNA from 10 species